GGACUACACGGGUAUCUAAUCCUGUUUGCUCCCCACGCUUUCGCUCCUCAGCGUCAGUUUCGGCCCAGAGACCCGCCUUCGCCACCGGUGUUCCUCCUGAUAUCUGCGCAUUUCACCGCUACACCAGGAAUUCCAGUCUCCCCUGCCGAACUCUAGUCUGCCCGUAUCGGCUGCAGGCCCGGAGUUGAGCCCCAGGUUUUCACAGCCGACGUGACAGACCGCCUACGAGCUCUUUACGCCCAAUAAUUCCGGACAACGCUUGCACCCUACGUAUUACCGCGGCUGCUGGCAC
rnacentral:rRNA from 1 species